rnacentral:ncRNA from 3 species
UACAGAGAAGAUUAGCAUGGCCC